UGGGGAAUAUUGCACAAUGGGCGAAAGCCUGAUGCAGCAACGCCGCGUGAGUGAUGAAGGCCUUCGGGUUGUAAAGCUCUGUCUUCUGGGACGAUAAUGACGGUACCAGAGGAGGAAGCCACGGCUAACUACGUGCCAGCAGCCGCGGUAAUACGUAGGUGGCAAGCGUUGUCCGGAUUUACUGGGCGUAAAGGAUGCGUAGGCGGAUACUUAAGUCAGAUGUGAAAAUCCCGGGCUUAACUUGGGAACUGCAUUUGAAACUGGGUAUCUAGAGUGCGGGAGAGGACAGUGGAAUUCCGAGUGUAGCGGUGAAAUGCGUAGAGAUUAGGAAGAACACCAGUGGCGAAGGCGACUUUCUGGACCGUAACUGACGCUGAGGCAUGAAAGCGUGGGGAGCAAACA
rnacentral:rRNA from 1 species